UACGAAAGGGGCUAGCGUUGUUCGGAAUUACUGGGCGUAAAGCGCACGUAGGCGGCCUUGUAAGUUGGGGGUGAAAUCCCGGAGCUCAACUCCGGAACUGCCUCCAAAACUACAAAGCUCGAGGAUGUGAGAGGAGAGUGGAAUUCCGAGUGUAGAGGUGAAAUUCGUAGAUAUUCGGAAGAACACCAGUGGCGAAGGCGACUCUCUGGCACAUUUCUGACGCUGAGGUGCGAAAGCGUGGGGAGCAAACAGG
rnacentral:rRNA from 1 species